GGGAAGGUCUGUCUCUUUAAAUCUUCCAGUGGAUGCUGCUGGAGGAAGCCACUGCUGCCAAGUGGAUCAAAACCAAGUAGAGAUGGAGUUUCACCAUAUUAGCCAGAUGGUCUCGAUCUCCUGACCUCGUGAUCGGCCCACCUCGGCCUCCCAAAGUGCUGGGAUUACAAGCAUGAGCCACUGCACCAGGCCCAGCUUCCCCUUUCUUCAAGCAUUCUCCCAUAGAUGCCUGACCAGGUUCCAGAGUUUCCAAAUAAUUCAUUGCAAUUACUCUUUAUAGCUCAAUGGUUGUUCCAGUGGAAGGACCAGCCUCUAUAGCUUCCUACAAUACCAUUUUGUCCUUAGGCCGCAACAAGAAAGAAGACAGCCCAUGAAAACCGACAGUGCGGAAAGUGAAGCCUGAGAUUCAGAAGCGGAGGUGCCUGUGAUCCAGGUCUUCCACCCUGAAACCUCACCCUGCAUCAAAGUCCUGCCUGGAGAGUCUACCUUGCAAAGCCUUCUGCUCCUACACAUGCUACAGUCCAGCAACGAGAGCCCAUCAUCUCAGAGCCUUGCAAAGCCUCCUGCUCCUACACAUGCCACAGGCCAGCAGCCAGAGCCCAUCAUCUCAGAGGCCCCUGUAUGUCCUUCGAAGGAACCAGGACCCUCACAGCCCAGCAUCCAUCACUGUCAUCAUCUUCAUCACAACCAAAGAAGAGCAAGCCUGGCAGGCGGGGUUACAUCUCCAGGACAAUGGGCUGCCAGCAACUGCAGAGAUGCGGCCACCUGCUUAACUGUGCUGUCCAGCCAG
rnacentral:lncRNA from 1 species